rnacentral:tRNA from 1 species
AGCCCCGUAGUAUAGUGGUCAAGUAUCUCGCGCUCUGGCCGCGAGGGCCCAGGUUCGAAUCCUGGCGGGGCUA